rnacentral:tRNA from 1 species
GCUAGUGUAGCUCAAUUGGUAGAGCAACUGAUUUGUAAUCAGUCGGUUGCAGGUUCAAGUCCUGUCACUAGCU